UGAACCAGCCAUGCCGCGUGCAGGAUGACGGCCCUAUGGGUUGUAAACUGCUUUUAUUCGGGAAUAAACCUCUUUUCGAGUAGAGAGCCGAAGGUACCGAAUGAAUAAGCACCGGCUAACUCCGUGCCAGCAGCCGCGGUAAUACGGAGGGUGCACGCGUUAUCCGGAAUCAUUGGGUUUAAAGGGUCCGCAGGCGGAUAUAUAAGUCAGUGGUGAAAUCCUGCAGCUUAACUGCAGAACUGCCAUUGAGACUGUAUAUCUUGAAUUGAGUGGGAGUGGGCGGAAUAUGACAUGUAGCGGUGAAAUGCAUAGAUAUG
rnacentral:rRNA from 1 species